CCUACGGGGAGCUGCAGUGGGGAAUAUUGGACAAUGGGCGAAAGCCUGAUCCAGCCAUGCCGCGUGUGUGAAGAAGGCCUUCGGGUUGUAAAGCACUUUCAGUGGGGAAGAAAGCCUUGGGGCUAAUACCCUCGAGGAAGGACAUCACCCACAGAAGAAGCACCGGCUAACUCCGUGCCAGCAGCCGCGGUAAUACGGAGGGUGCGAGCGUUAAUCGGAAUUACUGGGCGUAAAGCGCGCGUAGGCGGUCUGAUAAGCCGGUUGUGAAAGCCCUGGGCUCAACCUGGGAACGGCAUCCGGAACUGUCAGGCUAGAGUGCAGGAGAGGAAGGUAGAAUUCCCGGUGUAGCGGUGAAAUGCGUAGAGAUCGGGAGGAAUACCAGUGGCGAAGGCGGCCUUCUGGACUGACACUGACGCUGAGGUGCGAAAGCGUGGGUAGCAAACAGGAUUAGAUACCCUGGUAGUC
rnacentral:rRNA from 1 species